UAAACUCAAUAAUUCUAACAACAUCUGCCCCUUGGGUGAAUAAAUAACCCGGCACCUUCUCACCAGUGGCAUCAGGCCACAGGGUAAUCUUCAGUACACCGUCUCCCACAGGCACAGAGAGGCAAAAGCCUUCUCCCAUCACAGCUUCCAGAUUUUCCGCUCUCAACAAGCAGUGCGUCCAGUUGGACCUGAGAAUAUAUCGCCUGCUGCCAGUUGCUCCUGAGCCACCUCUAAAUUCGAGGGCCAGCUCUCCAUUGAGCAAGGCUGAAAGCAAGUCACUUGGAGGCCUGUUUCCUCCGCAGGUCCACUGCCACAUCGGUGCCCCCCACCCCCGCCCCCUGUGCCUGGGACUCCGCGGGACUCCUGGCACCAGAUUCCCUUCCACAGCGGGGACAGUCAGUCACCGCUCCUACCAACGCUGUCAAAAUAUGAUAAGGAAGCAUGGGAGCCACCUUGCUGUCCCCUAAUACUACAAGGACCUUUAGGACUUCUGUGGACAGUCUUCAAGGAGUCUCUGAUCCUACUGAACACGGCCAUAAGCUUCAGUGCAAAUAGAUAUUCUACUGCUCUCAACAGAUCUUCAAAAGGGACUUGGCCUGCCUACAAUAUGAUGCAUUUUUCUGUACUCUUUUUUUUCUCUUCCAAGGGACACUUGUUGGUCUCCUUGACAAUAGUUUUGUAUUACUCUUUGGGGUUCCCUGGUGGCUCAGAGGUUAAAGCGUCUGCCUGCAAUGCGGGAGACCUUGGUUCAAUCCCUGAGUCAGAAAGAUCCCCUGGAGAAGGAAACGGCAACCCACUCCAGGAUUUUUGCCUGGAGAAUCCCAUGGAUGGAGAAACCUGGUGGGCUACAGUCCACGGGGUGGCAAAGAGUCGGACAUGACUGAGUGACUUCACUUCACUUUCACUUUGGGUAGGUAUUCUCUUCUCUUCACAAUGGCAAUUUCAAUCUUUGUUAACCUGGUCGAGAACUCUCCGUUUCAACCUUUCAGAGCUUUGUGAAGAGCACUAAAUAAACACUUUUCCGAAAAAGCUCCUCUAGUGUGUGAACACCAGUUACAUUAGGGUGGGGGCUCACUGAAUUUGGAGUCAACACUGGAAACAUGUAAGAAGAGAAAACCUUUCCUUUCCCAUGUUUUCCUCCUUUUAAACUUAGCUUCAUGCUUGGGACCCCAAGAAUCUGAAUGAAGAAAGCGAAAAGGUCAAAACCACAUCAUUCUAAAUACAUAGUGAUUCAAAUACAUGUAGAGAACUGUAAAGAAGCUCAUGCAACUAGCAGCAAACUACAAAUGCUUAGAAGGGGAUUUAUCAUGUACAAAUUGUGGAUCCAUCUCCAUUGUCCUGGUGGCUCCAACCAGGGAAUAUGUCUGUCCCCUUGUUGACAUAGGCCAUGCUAGAACAAAGAAAGUUGAUGACAUAAACACAUCCUUUUCCCAGCACUUGAGUGUGUGUGAUUUAACCUUUAACUCUUGCUUGUUGAUGUAGGUGAGAUGUCAAAUACUUUCUACUGAGCUGUUGGCAACUCUUUAAAGUGUUUUCAUCACUCUUGCACUAAGAUGAGUCCAGGGUCAGUCUAACCCAUCAUUGUAAUCUCAUUGUAAUCGAGUCACCUCCCCCACCCUCUCUUUUCUUUCUCUGCCACUUCCUCCAGACCUCAACAGGAAAGCGGUGACAAAGACCAGGGAUCAGCCUGGCCGUCACUGUAAAUCUGCAGUUACUUCAAGUGUUGCUUCCUGUUUUUGAAAAACUACAUUCCUAGCACGGAAUAGAGACUGAGGUCUUGUGACCAACUGUGAACAAAUGAUGUAAACUGUGACACAAACAAUAGGGAGUCCAUAUCAGAUACUGUAAGCCAGUUUUCAUCCUCCUUUAAUUCUUUAGACUUAGAAAUAAAUCCUCUUACUUCCUUUAGAUCACACCUGCCAUAAAAAGAAAAAACCACGCUUUUUACCCACUUCACACCUAAACCCAUUCCAUCUUUCCUGAGGCUGAACCUAAACCCAUCUUGUCUACUCAAAGAUUUAAAUGGACAUAUUUCUAUUUAAUGUUUAAGCCAAAAGUAUAAAGUUCUUGCUAGUUUUGUCUUUGCAAGACAAAAUCCUUGCACCACCAAAAAAGGGGAAAAAGCAUAAGAAUUCUCAGCAGUGUAAUUUCAUAUAUAUUUUUUUCUUAGUAGUCAUUCUUGUUAUUUUAGAGCUAGUAGACAAUUCUGCUAAAAGAAUUGACACUUUAGAUGAGAGCAAAAUAGCUGCACAUAUAUAUAUAACACAUACCUGGAGAAAUAAACUUGAAUAGACUAGAUACUACCAUCAGCAUUUUCGUCAUUUCAGUCUGGAGCUUGCACUCAUUUCUUGGAAAGGAAAUUUCUGUCUCAUUAGAGAGAAAUGAUUAUGCCAAAUGUACAAAAAUAACAGUGGGAGGUGGUGGUGGGGGUAGGAUGGAGGAAGGUCACUGCAUGACUCAGAGAGGUUUGGCUUCUAUAAUUAAUAUUUUUAAGCUAUUUUACUUCAUAUUUGAAAUAGAAUUAUAUGAUUAGAAGGGGGAAAAGUUACACACAGCUAAAAUGGGGUUUCUUAAUCACGCACAUACAUGUAGUACUAUCAUAUAGCAAAAUUGGGAUGUGUCAAAACUAUAUAUAUAUACAUAUUUAUAUAGAUCUGUAAGUACAUACAGACAUACAUAUAAUCAUACCUAGCUAAAGUAGGGUAUGUCUUUUAUGGUUUAUUAAGCAUAGAUUUCUAUUUUAUUUACUUAUUUAUUUUUUUGUAUGUGAUUCUAUACUAAAAAAGCAAUAUUCUGAAGGCUAUUGUUGUGACAAAGUAAACACUACUCAUUUUACAUAAGCAAACACACUUGCCAAGGUAAAUAUCCCAUUACAGUCAAAAUGGAGCCAACAUGAGUGUAUUAAAAUUAGCCAGAAAUUUUGGAGGAAAAAGCAGGAAGUUGGGUGGGAUGGAGAAGCUGCAUAUGAAUGGAAUGGAUUACACAAGCCCGGUUUGGGGAAUCACAAAUUCCAAGUGCUUCUAUGGAGUCCUCGACCUGGCUAAAAAUAGCUUUGAUGUACAAUGACUUAGUAUAUUUAUUUUUAUUGAAGUAUAGUAGAUAUACAAUGUUGUGUUAUUUCAGGUGUACAGUGAAGUGAUUCAAUUAUACAUAUUUGUGUGUGUAUAUAUACAUAUUAUUUUUCAGAUUCUUUUCCAGUAUAGUUUAUCCAAGAUAGUGAACAUAGUUUCCUGUGCUAUAUGGUAGGUCCUUGUUGUUCAUCUGUUUUAUAUAUGGUACUGUAUAUCUGUUAACCCUGAUCUCCCCCCUUCCCCUUCUGUAACCAUAAGUUUGUUUUCUAUGCCUGUGAGUCUAUUUCACAAAUAAGUUAAUUUGUAUCAUUUUUAAACAUAAAGAUCAUUUAUCAUUUUUAAAUCAUCUAUGCCACAUAAGAAAAAAUUAUCUCAGUUGAACUAUCUUCUUGGCAACUCAAUAAAAACUUUGUUUGUUUUAAUUCAUUCAUUCAUUUCAAUCGUGGGCUAAUUAAUUUACAAUAUUGUGGUGGUUUUUGUCAUACAUUGACGUGAAUCAGCCAUGAGUGUACAUGUAUCCCUCUGUCCUGAACCUCCCUCCCGCCUUCCUCCCCAUCCCAUCCCUCUGGGUUGUUCCAGUGCACCAGCUUUGAGUGUCCUGAUUCAUGCAUUGAACUUGGACUAGUCAUCUAUUUCACAUAUGGAAAUAUACAUGUUUCAGUGCUAUUCUCUAAAAUCAUCGCACCCUCUUCUUCUCCCACAGAGUCCAAAAGUCUGUUCUUUAUAUCUGUGUCUCUUUUGCUGUCUCACAUAUAGGGUUGUCAUUGUGAUCUUUCUAAAUUCCAUACAUAUGUGUUAAUAUACUGUAUUGGUGGUUUUCUUUCUGACUUACCUCAUUCUAUAUAAUCGGCUCCAGUUUCAUCCACCUCAUUAUAACUGACUCAAAUGUGUUCUUUUUAAUAGCUAAGUAAUAUUCCUUUGUGUAUAUGUACCACAGCUUUCUUACCCAUUCAUCUGCUGAUGGACAUCUAGGCUGCUUCCAUAUCCUGGCUAUUAUAAACAGUGCUGCAAUGAACAUUGGGGUACACGUGUCUCUUUCAGUUCUGCUUUCCUCGGUGUGUAUGCCCAGCAGUGGGAUUGCUGCGUCAUAUGGCAGUUUUAUUUCCAGUUUUUCAAGGAAUCUCCACACCGUUCUCCAUAGUGGCUGUACUAGUUUGCAUUCCCACCAACAGUGUAAGAGGUUUCCCUUUUCUCCCCACCCUCUCUAGCAUUUAUUGUUUGUAGACUGUUCAAUAGCAGCCAUUCUGACUGGCGUGAGUUGGUUCCUCACUGUGGUUUUGAUUUGCAUUUCUCUGAUAAUGAGUGAUGUUGAGUAUCUUUUCAUGUGUUAGUUAGCCAUCUCUAUGUCUUCUUCAGAGAAAUGUCUGUUUAGUUCUUUGGCCCCUUUUUUUAUUUUUCUGGUAUUGAACUGCAAGUGCUGCUUGUAUAUUUUUAAGAUUAAUUCUUUGUCAGUUGCUUCAUUUGUUAUUAUUUUCUCCCAUUCUGAAGGCUGUCUUUUUACCUUGCUUAUAGUUUCCUUCAUUGUGCAAAAGCUUUUAAGUUUAAUUAGGUCCCCUUUGUUUAUUUUUGCUUUUAUUUACAUUACUCUGGGAGGUGGGUCACAGAGGAUCUUGCUGUGGUUUUUGUCAGAGGUUUCCCUAUG
rnacentral:lncRNA from 1 species